rnacentral:rRNA from 1 species
UACGUAGGGUGCAAGCGUUAAUCGGAAUUACUGGGCGUAAAGCGUGCGCAGGCGGUUCUAUAAGACAGAUGUGAAAUCCCCGGGCUCAACCUGGGAACUGCAUUUGUGACUGUAGAGCUGGAGUACGGUAGAGGGGGAUGGAAUUCCGCGUGUAGCAGUGAAAUGCGUAGAUAUGCGGAGGAACACCGAUGGCGAAGGCAAUCCCCUGGACCUGUACUGACGCUCAUGCACGAAAGCGUGGGGAGCAAGCAGG